AGGACGAACGCUGGCGGCGUGCUUAACACAUGCAAGUCGAGCGGUAAGGCCUUUCGGGGUACACGAGCGGCGAACGGGUGAGUAACACGUGGGUGAUCUGCCCUGCACUCUGGGAUAAGCCUGGGAAACUGGGUCUAAUACCGGAUAUGACCUGCUCUCGCAUGGGGGGUGGGUGGAAAGAUUUAUCGGUGCAGGAUGGGCCCGCGGCCUAUCAGCUUGUUGGUGGGGUAAUGGCCUACCAAGGCGACGACGGGUAGCCGACCUGAGAGGGUGACCGGCCACGCUGGGACUGAGACACGG
rnacentral:rRNA from 1 species